rnacentral:miRNA from 1 species
GUGCAUGCUGUUGCAUGCAC